rnacentral:lncRNA from 1 species
UCGGUACACAAUUCUUAUAGCGUAAAAGAUAAUUAUAUUCAUAUAUACUAUAAAGCAAAUAACCAAAGCAUAAAAUUUCUUUUACAGUGACACGUGGGCCCACAUCUAUCCAAAAUGCAUCGGAAGCUGGAAACCUACAGCUUUUAUCGAUUCGAGUCCAAAUGAAGGUCCUUGUCAAAGUCAGCUAACUAUGGAAUUCCCCGAGCCUAAAAUGUGAGGAAAUGAGGGUGGUGAGAUUAUAAAAUCCCAGGGAGUAAACAGAUACCAUCUAAACUAUCUAAAGUCGAGUAAAUGGAGACAAUUAAAAUAAAUCAUCAUAUUGUAAUUUCAUUACAUUUCAACUCAUUUCAACCAAAUAAAAUCAAUCCAUAAAAAUCGAGUAAUCAACUUGGCUUAUGAAUUUCUUAAAACUUUGGCUCGUGCCAAAACUCAUACUCGGUGAUACCUUGCGCAGGGCAUCCAACCGAGUCCGCCAAGGCUGUUAAAAUUUCAUGUACACUUAAAAUAUAUUUUUAGUUUGAGAAAAUACAGUCAUUCCUUGACGUUGGCUGAGUUCCCCUUCACGUGGUGGUUUAGCGUGAAGUGAACCCUAAGCUUUACCCCAAGAGAUACCCUACGCGCCUCUCCGUUCGGGGUAAGAAUAUAUUGGAGUUUACCGUGCCCCUCUAAUAGGCUGGUCCAUGGAACCCCCUCUGCAGUGAAUAAUUAACAUAUAAUCCACCAAUCAAUAACAUUCAUUCUAGCAUGACAUGGCAAUUUAUCACAACCUAGCCUCUCAAGGCUGAAUACACAGUAUAAAUAAUUCUAACACCAAAAUUAGUUUAGCCAUUCAUGCUCAUUUAUUGUCAUAAGCCAUUCAAUUCAAAACCAUAAAUUUACAACACAAGCAGGCAGUCUCCAAUUCCUCUAUUUUCAAAACUAGUAUUCGAUUUUUCCAGAAAAUUUAUAAAAUCAUUUUAUAAAAUUGUAAUUUCUCUUAAAACAUAGCAAUUUACCAUUUAAACCUAUUUUUCAUAAAAUCACACAAUUGUAUAAAACUACUAUAGAUAAUUAAGACGAUAAUAAGUUCACUCACAGUUUUAGGAGUCGAUGUACUCCUAAUCCCAGUCUCCAAGCACAAUCUCUCUACUUUUGCCAGUGUACUUUGCUCACCACCUAUCCACAAUGUACAAUACAUAAUUCACCACAUCAAUGCUUGACCAUUAUAAAAUCAAUUCAGGCUCGGUAUAUAUACAUGAUAUGAUAUACAACUUAUCAGACUACCGUUUAAAUGCGGUGCUGACCUAAUUCGGCCUAUUAUCUCUAAUUUAACUCAAAAUCAAUUCUUCUCACUUUCUACACUCCAAUUAUACCUAAAUUACCUUAAUAACUAUGAAUGAAAUUCAAUUUAUCAGUACCGAUAGCAAAUUACAAAAAUACCCCUAGUGGGUAAAAAUUCGUAUUUUUGCUCCGAAAAUUCCUAUUAUUUUUCUAGGCUCAUAAUUCAUCAUUUCUUAACCAAUUCUCCUAAAAUGAAAAUCAAAUUCAUCCUCACUAAACACAUGAUAAAUUCGGCCAUUAAUGAUUGUGGGAGAAAAUAAAUUUUUUUCUUGUUGUUUUGUUUCUAAAUAUGCUAAACUAACUUAAAACACUAACAUAACUUAAAAUCAAAUUAAUCUAACAACUUUCUCUCUCCUAACCCAUUUUUCAGAAUUGAAUUCAUCAUAAUAACUCAAUAUUCAACCAUGGAAAUCAAGAACAAAAGCAUGGGUAAGCUAGGUAUCAAGGAGAACUAAAGAAAUUCUAACUUACCUAGCUUGUUUCCUUGAUUUCUUCACUUUUUCUUUGAAUUUUUCACCUAGGUUUUCUUGUUUUUCCCUUUGUUCUUCCUCUCUUUCUCUCUCUUCCUUGCUUGGCCGGCC